UACGUAGGGGUCAAGCGUUAUCCGGAUUUACUGGGCGUAAAGCGCCCGUAGGCGGCUUUUUAAGUCGGAUGUGAAAGCUCCCGGCUUAACUGGGAGAGGCCGUUCAAAACUGAGAGGCUAGAGUGAGGCAGAGGAGCGCGGAAUUCCCGGUGUAGUGGUGGAAUGCGUAGAUAUCGGGAGGAACACCAGUGGCGAAGGCGGCGCUCUGGGCCUAAACUGACGCUGAGGGGCGAAAGCGUGGGGAGCGAACGGG
rnacentral:rRNA from 1 species